GCGUCUGUAGCUCAGUGGAUUAGAGCGGAGGUCUUCGGAACCUCAGGCCGAAGGUUCAAAUCCUUUCAGACGCA
rnacentral:tRNA from 1 species